rnacentral:rRNA from 1 species
AUGGGUGUGGUUAACCCCCUCAUCGGCAAGCUCACUGAGCUACUUGGUGAGGAGUACAGAAAGCUCACCGGGGUGAGAAGGCAGGUCAUGUUUCUCAAGGAUGAGCUCAGCAGCAUGAAAGCUCUCCUUGACAAGCUAGAGCUUGUAGAUAAGCUUGAUCCUCAGGCUAAGGACUGGCGGGAUCAUGUUAGGGAGAUGUCCUAUGACAUGGAGAAUUGCAUCGACGACUUCAUGCAUGAUCUUGAAGGCGCUGAUGGCAAGAAAGGCUUUGUCAGGAAGAUGGCUCAGCGUCUUAGGAGGCUGGGGAGGCGUCAUCAGAUUGCCAACCAGAUCGAGGAGCUCAAGAUUCAUGCAAUCGAGGAAAAUGCCCGAUGCCAGAGGUACAAUAUUGAUGAUUCCAUACAUUCAAGUUCAACUGUUGUUGCUGUAGAUCCCCGGGUAUCCUUGCUAUCUACCACCGGGAAUUAUUUCCGUUUACUUCUUGUCUUUUGA